AAGAACCGGUAUUGUAUAAGGCAAGAAAAAUCAGUACAUGACUAAUAAAGAAAGAAUCAGUGUUCAGUAAGCAUAGGGUAGUAAAUUAGGACUAAGUUCAAAAAACUCCAACUAAGGAAAUGACGCAGACACUCAGUAAGAUAAAGUACCACAGCAAAUAAUGUAAUGGAAUCAGUCAAUUUAAACAGACAAGGGAGCAUUUUAGAGUUUUAAAAGAAAAUCUUUCGAUCAAACCAUCAAAUAAGGAAACCAGAAUCAAUCAAGAG
rnacentral:lncRNA from 1 species